rnacentral:siRNA from 1 species
AAAGUGUUUAGAAAAACUUG